CCAGAGGAAAGAUAUUAUAAUUAUUGGUUACCUUCCCAGGCCAAUCUGGAAAUGCCCACAUAACCUAUGUCAUAGCUGAACCUCCCAGGGUCCUCCUGGUCCUUGAACCUCUCAAGUUCUCUUCCAGCGCUGAGCAGGUCUCAUGGAUCUCUUGAAGUGUUUCGCCCUUCUCCUUCACCUCCCCUUUCCAGCUCUCUCCAACAACGAAACAAAACGAGACUCACAACUCUCGCAACUGCUAAAGGCAAACUCAGUCCAGCAAGGUGUCAGGAGGAAAGAAAUCUCCUUGAACAUAUUCCCACUGAUGUGUGUCUUCACUGAAGUUUCUCUAACCCUUCCAGAAUGACUCACACUUUUAAUUGAGAAUGUUUAAAACUCAGACAAAUCCCUAAAGGGUGGCUGCUGUUCCCAGGAGGUCACAGAAUAAAAUGAAAACACUUGGACAUAUUUUUUUUGAGGAGGGGAAGUCAAUGCAGCCAGGCCAGUGGGAACCCUUGGAUUAAAGCUUGGAGUGCCUCCUUUCCUAUAUUUUUAGACCACCAGUCUUACAAAAGCUCUUUAUUCUUUCAUGUAAAGCUGGCACCCGUGGCAGGGACAGCAGCCACUGUGGGCAAGAUCAGACCAGGAGCUGAUACACUGUUGGGUGGGUAAACCCUCUGCCCUCUGCUUUAGAGACUGAGGACUCAGGCGCGUUGCUCUUCAGGAGAAUCAGAGCCUGCGUGUCUGCAUUCUAACCCAAGGACAGUAAGGCGGAGAGAGGCACCAGAAUGCCAGUGAGAUGAUUUGAAAAUCAAAACAGUUCUGCCCCUGGACCGAAAUCCUCCAUUUGCACUAUGCCUGUAUCUUGCUUCUGUGGUCCAGCAAAGUGGGAGGCCCAGGCAUAACUAGAAGUAGUUUAUCGAUUUGCCAUAAAACAUUGCAGGCUCUGGGAUGGGAAUUUCUCAGAAUCUCUAUGAUAAGCACAUUUUUUCUGUGUAAGCAAACCCACAUAAGAAGGAGUAGGUUGCUUGUUGAAAAUGACAUUGGAAGGGGGGGAGACAAAUAUUUAAGAUCAUUAGGCCUCAGGCAUGCACACUGGCCAGAGAUGGCUUUGCCAAUGGAAUUAUAGUAAAGCCCCUAUUCCAAGUGUUUUAUAUAUAUUGACUUAAUUCUUCCAGCAAUUCUUGGGGAUACUUACUUUUAUCAUCAGUCCCAUUUCACAGGUGAAAUAAUAGAGAUACAGGUUUAAUAACUUGCACAGGUCAUGUAGCUAGUAAAUGGCAGAGUCAGGAUUUGAAGCCAGUUUUGAUGAGUUUGGACUCUUAACGAUCGUCCUGCACUCUCCUGAGAAUGCUCGGAGCCUGUAAGCUAUCACGUUCAUCUUGCACUGAGGCCAGUCUUUCCAUUGGGAGGGAAGCUCUGGCGGUUAAGACCCUUCCUCCAGGCUGCAUAUGGAAAAGCAGAGCCAGCCCUGGUCUCUGGCCUCUCCUUUCCAAGGUUAGAGAACUCCCCCUCCCCUAAUGGACAUUUUUUUUCUUUAGACACGUUAAUAUGUUAAAACUGCUGACUGUGCGGUCUUGCUGGCCUGGAAGUCCUACCUUAUCCCUCUGACAGCUCUGCAUAUCUGGCCUCCGAUGAGUAAUACUGACUCUCAAAGUUGUCAAGAGAAAAACACUUCCACAAACUUGGUGCAAAAACAAACGAAAAGAAACCCAACCAACAUGAUCCAAAAAGCACUGAAAAUGGGACUUGUAUAGAGAGAGGAAAUUUGGGUUUAUUUGAACCUAUAGGAGUUCUGGAAUUUUCUGCACUUUAUAUUCUCUGUGAACGUGGUCAACCCAGAGAACAUUUCUGGGUAAGUACCCGGACUCUGCUCCCUGUAAAUGCCCCUAACAUUUUAGAAAUUAGCUUUAGCCACUACAGGCUUAACUCAGGUACAGAGUUUAUGGAGCAAGCAGAUCUAGUCCUGAGCAGCCUUGGGAAGUACAGUCUGACCCUCUGUCAUCCAGGGACGGAUCAGAUUAUGAAGACAUUUCAAGGCUACAAACUAACAAUGCUCAGAGACUGGGUAGUUUCCAGGAGAAACCGUUCGCCUCUUUCUUCCUUUCCUAAGUAAUCACAAGAAGUCUAAUUUACCCAACCAUUCUCAGGGGUCUUUCAUUUUUAUAUUAUAUUACCGUCUGAAAAUGUUUUCAUAUGGAUGAUGGCAAUUGAGUCUCAAAACGUCCUAGAAAGGUAGGCAGGUCAGAUAUUGUUAAGCAUCAUUUUCUGAGGAGGGCACAAAAGCUUAGCAAGGUUAUAUGACUUUACCAAGGUUACUAUAAUUCAGGGUUUCUGAGUCAAGCUUAAGCAUUUUUUCUUCAGUAUCCAGAGAAUCAUCACUCUAUACAAUACCGUGCCAAUUCUGUUGAGGCCAUCAGCUUUUACACCUGACGCAUGUGUCCCUCUCACCUUUGAUCUCAAUGUUAUGUAAAUAUUCCAAUAAUUUCAGAAACAAUUCUUGACUAAUCCGUAAACAGACUGUGCUAGAUGCUUUUAUGGGAUUAAAAAACACAGGAUUUGGUUUCUGAUCUGAAGGGAUGGACAAUUUGGAUUUUAAAGAAAAGAAUUACAUGAAACUACACCCAAAAAUAGAGGUAAAAUUAAGAAUAAUAGGUCUCAUAGCAUGAGUCAAGAACAGAGCUAAGUACUUUGCAUAUAUUAUCUGAUUUAAUCCUUGGAGCAACUCUCCAAGGCAAUUGUGAUUAUCCAUCUGACAGUAGAGGAAACUAUUAAGUAACCUGCCCAAGGUCAUAGCUGGCUAACGCCAGAGCUAGGAUUCAACUGCACUUCUGCCAGACGCCCAAGUCCUGGAGAGUUUCACUAUGCCAUUCUGACUCCCUAAACAUACACAGGAGCCCAUUGUGGUAGGGGCUGAACACUUCAACGCCCAGGAAAAUGUGGACGGUGGGCAUCCCCAGAGAAAGGGAGGGCCAGGGAAGGGUGUGUGAGUUGGGACUUGAAAAAAAUGGUGAGCGUGGACUGGUGCAGAGCCAGUGGUGGUGAGGAGGACACAGGUGGGUUGGAAAAGCACGAGUAAUAGAUGGGUGAUUGGUUAGAGCUGUGUGAUGCAAAGUCAAUCUCAGAGAUCAGAUGGCUUACCUGGCUGGAGAGCUGUAGGUUAGCACGGCGUGUUCUUGGAGCUGGAUUUAUAACUGUGCUUCUUUGUUCUGAAGGGGAAUUUGUUGCUUUCACCAAUUGCCCUAGCUUCCUGGGUUCAGGUACUCUCUGGAGUGAAUGAAAAGCAAGAUUUUGCAACAUCUGUAGGAGAAGAAGGAAGGGGCUCUCCUGAAUAAGAAAGAGUGGGUUGAAUUCACCUUUUCUUAGGGCAUCAUAAAGGAGAGUUUGAAAGGCCGGUGGAGGGUGUUAUGCACACUUGUUUCACAACAGAGGGCUUUUUGCACAAGUUCUUGAAAGAGUGAUUCAAAUUUUGUACCUAUCAAAACCGUGGCCUACAGAUGUGUUUUACUUGAUCUGCAUAUUUUGGUUAGCUGGAAUGUGAUUUUCUGGACUCUGCUUUCUCUAUUAUUUCCUCUGUCUUCCAAAGCUUCCAUUGGUGCUGGGAUGUGAUGCCAGGAGCAGCAGAAAAUGUACUAGCCAGAGCCAACCUUUUGAGUUAUAGAUGAAUCCAGACUGGGGAGGCUUUAUUUCCUAGAGGACUCUGCCCCUCUCAGCCAUUCCCAAAGGGAUUCAAUUCUGAUAUAGGAUGACAGUAGGAUGGUAGAAUUGUUGGGCUUUCUGCAUACUCCUCACUAAAGAGUAACGGUUUCUCACGAGGAAAGGUGAUACUGUUGGAGACCUUGGACCUCUGGGUGAGGACUCACGCCAACUUAGAGAGGCCUAGGGUUAGAUAACCUUCCCUCUGUCUCAUGGAAGAUACGUGACCUAAGAAGAGCUAGAGUUUUGCAUUCUGUCACCUCGCUCUCCUGGAUGGUUGUGUCCAAAUCUGCCUGCCGGAUCCCCUCUCCAGUCUACUUAGCACAGGGCGUUAGGAGCCAAGACACUCAGGCCAAGAUGCCAACUGAAUGGCUGACAUCAGAAAUCAGGACUGAAUUACAACAAGGGUCCUUAUGUGAGGUAGCCCAAGGCACAGAAAGCCGGAGUCCUCAAGGAAAUGGCAAGAUUCAAAUACUGGGAGGACAUAAACAAAAAACAUCCCAUAAAAAAACAAAUAAAACAUGAUAAAUUUCCAAAAAGCUUCUCAGCCUCAUUCACAGUAAAAAUUAAAAUAAUAAAGCACCGUUUUUCGUCUCUCAGGUUGGCAAAGAUCUAAGAAGUUUGAUAAUAUCCAAUCUCAAAGAUAGUGUGGGGAGAUAGAACUCGAAUUCCCUAUAAAUGGACUGCACAUUAAAACAAACCUCUUGGAGAACUUUUCAGCACUAUCUAUGAUGCAUAUACACUUUGGCCCAGCUCUUCUAUUUUUGGGAAAUUUUCUGACAGAUAUACUCACACAGGUGCAGAAAGGUACCAGGCAAGGAACUCCAUUGCAGCAUUUUUUAUAAUAGUGAAAAACCGGAAACCAUUUAGAUGUCCAUGAAUAGGGAACAUCAUGCAGACAUUUUUAAAGAUGUCAAAAUAAUAUUAACUCAAAAGGGACAAACUUCCAGUUAUAAGACAAAUAAGUCCUGGGGAUGUAAUGUACAGCCUCGUGACCAUAGUUAACAAUGCUAUGUUGUGUAUUUGAAAAUUGGUAAAAGAGGAGAUCUUGAAAGUCCUCAUCACAUGCAAACACACAAAUUGUGACCAUGUGUGAUGAUGGACGUUAACUAAACUUAUUGUGCCAAUCAUUUCACAAUAUAUACGUAUAUCAAAUCAUUAUGUUGCAUACCUAAAACUAAUGCGAUGUUAUAUGGGAAUUAUAUCUCAGUUAAAAAAAACUAAGUCAAAAGAAGCAAAUAAUAGAUUAGUAGGUACAGUAUGAGCUUUUUUGUAUGAAACAACAAAAAGCAAAAUGAUGUAUGUAUCCAUAUACGUCUCUCUUUCUCUCUGCAUGUAUCUAUGUAUACUUCUCCAGGCAUGGACAUGUCUGAAAGGAUGCGCGCAACAGCUAAUAAUGAUUGCCACUGGGAAUGUGAGUGAGAAGACCAAUGAGAUAAGGGGGCUUUUUGUUUUACUUUGUUGACUUAUGUACAACUUGAAUGUUUUCAGUAGUGAACAAUUUAUUUCUCUUAUAAUUAAAACAAUAUUUUAAAUGAA